rnacentral:rRNA from 1 species
CACGUAGGGCGCAAGCGUUGUCCGGAAUUAUUGGGCGUAAAGAGCUCGUAGGCGGUCUGUUACGUCUGCUGUGAAAACCCAGGGCUUAACCCUGGGCUUGCAGUGGAUACGGGCAGACUAGAGGCAGGUAGGGGAGAAUGGAAUUCCCGGUGUAGCGGUGAAAUGCGCAGAUAUCGGGAGGAACACCGGUGGCGAAGGCGGUCCUCUGGGCCUGACCUGACGCUGAGGAGCGAAAGCGUGGGGAGCGAACAGG